GCGGAGCCCGCCAAAUGCCUGCCGAAAAGCUGACAACGGUACGUGGAAUUCGUUACUUCAAAAAGAUUCGUCAGCAGGAGUAAUUAAUCCGUAUUGGAUUUUCCCAACAUUGAUGAUGUGUAAAGUUCUCAUGUUAACACCUUUCUUAGGACGUUUUGGGGACGAUAUUAAAAUACAGAAGAGUUUUUAAUAUUUUUGGAUGGAAAGCAUCAAUACAUGCAAGUAAUAUAUUUUCUGCAUUAGUUCAUUCAGCGGUAUGUUGUUAUUGUCAUGCAUGUGUGCA